rnacentral:piRNA from 1 species
UGGGGUGGGGAGGGUAGAAAAGGG